rnacentral:lncRNA from 7 species
ACAAAUUAUGCGUCCAGUCCUGCAAGCCUGCCUGCAAUGAACGCCUUUAGAAAUCAGUGGAGCUUUCACAUGGCAGAUGGCUCCCUAGGAUUGAGCUCUACAUAAUUUUGCGAUAUUUUAGAUGGGGAUAUUUUAGUGGCUUUUUCCCUAUGCAUGACAGCAUGAUUUGCUGGCUGCUAGAAAAUGUCAUCAGACCCUUUCUCAUUCCACAAUGAAACCUUUGGAUUAAUUUUUUUUUUCCCUUUUGAAAGAGAAAAAAUGUUUUCUUUUUGUAUUGUACAGGACGUUCCUAUCUGAUGAAAAACAGGCCUAGACAAAAAAACUGUGACAGCAGAAGGGUGGCAGGACAAAAUAAUCACACUGUAUUUCAAAAUAGUCCUAAAGAUAAAUGAAAGGGGAAGAGUUGUUUUUAAAAAAUAAAAAAUGCUCCACUAUUGAAAGUAUUUCCGUCCAUUAAAAUUGUUGUGGACUCUCUUCUGUAUUGGAUUUCAUUUAUGUUGUCAUCUGAAUUCUUUUGGAAUGCAGUAAAGGCAAGAACUCAUUAGGUUGAGUCCUUUUGUGCUCUCUCAAAAUGGACAAUUGCUCAACAGUAAUUUCAGCGGUCACUGCAGAACGAUCUGCGGCCAACUUACCUCCUGUAAAAACACAGCAAGGGUAAAAAUAUCAGUGCAAACUUGGUUCCAGAGAGAAUUAAUUCAUUAUCUCUGGCCAGGUCUACGUUUGCAUGCAAAAAGUGCAGCAAGUUAACUUGAACCAGUUUUCCUGACGGAUACUGCAGUGUAGAUCCUUAUCCUCAAAGCUGGUCACACUAAGGGGUUAACAGUAGCAAAACAUAUUCCCACCAGCUAUCCUAGUGCUGGAAAUGUCCUUGCAUGCCAGACCUUGCAGUCACAGAAACAGCAAGCAUUCCUGAGAAUCAAUCUUUAUCGACAUGACAGACAUCAGAUCUUUGGUUAUCAAAAAAUAUCAUUGAAGAACUGCUGGAUUCAUCGAAUGACCCCUCCCAAAAAAUUCUGAUGAGCCUGAGAUAUUACCUGCCAAGGCCAGGAGGUGAAUUCUGACAGCACCCAGCAGCAUUAUAAAACAGAGAUUGUUACACAGAGGAUAAGUAUGUCAGAGGAAAUUAAUCCUUAUGUUUUAUUCUAAGAAAGUCUUAGUUUCACACUUUUAGAAUGGAUUUUGGAGAAAAAGAUGCUGUUUUGAUAAUAAGAACAAACAUACAAAGAAGACCUUUUUCCACUAGCUAAAUUGGUUUGGCAAAUAACAAAAACAUGCACAUAAAAUUGCUUUUACUCACUACUAACAGAACAUGUAUUUAGAUUAUUAUUUUUUUUUAGAUUUUCUGUUUGAUUUUUUUUUUGUAUCAUUAAUUAAAGGGCUCAACAUGCUUGAAUUCUUUUAAUAAAUCUUACAUGUUAAUUGCAAAGUAAUUUUCACAAUGGAAAACAUUUUGAUAGCAAAUUGUCAAUUCCGUCUGCUGUAAUUGAGAAAGAAAUCCUUCCAUGUUGGUGGAGAAUAACAAUGGUGCAAAUGAAAUUACAAUGUCCUGGGGAAAAAACGAGUUUAAUUUAUGGGAGGUAAGAACCACAGUGACUUUUCUGCUGAAGUUCUGAGCUGCAUCUGAUAUUUUGGAUGCUUGCAAGAUCCAAAUCUUAAUUCAUAGAAUCAUAGAAUGGCCUGGAUUGAAAAGGACCAUAAUGAUCAUCGAGUUUCGACCCCCUGCUACGUGAAGGGUUGCCAACCACCAGACCAGGAUAGAAUCAUAAGAAGAAUUCAGAAUUCAGAAGACAGAGAUGUCUUGACCAGAAGUUCUAUGUUGUUUUGUUUUCAAGUUGUUUUGCAUUCCAGGAUAUGCUAACAAAGGCAGGCAUGUGAAGGGCUGGCACCUUCCAGUAAUUUGACGCUGAUUCCUGAACAUUAACUGAGGCUGAGGAAGCAGGUUCAAAGGAGAAGGCUUCCCGCAGAGAACAAAUUAUUCACUGAACAUCAGAACUACUGGAGUCUGAGUUUCUACUAAGCUAUGUUUUGAGGUUUACCUUGGUGUCUGAGAAGAUGUUAUUUUGAUGGAUAUUUAAGUGACUUCCAACACCAGAACUACAAGUGUUGACUUGAGGAUAGACACCAGAAAUGAAAAUAAGUAUUCGAUGAGUAAAAAGCAUGCCUGCUGAUC